UUCCGGUUGAUCCUGCCGGAGGUCACUGCUAUCGGUGUUCGACUAAGCCAUGCGAGUCAAAUGUUCUUCGUGAACAUGGCGUACUGCUCAGUAACACGUGGAUAACCUGCCCUUAGGUCUGGCAUAACCCCGGGAAACUGGGGAUAAUUCCGGAUAGAUCAUCGAUGCUGGAAUGCGCUUUGAUCCAAAGCUAUUGUGCCUAAGGAUGGGUCUGCGGUCUAUCAGGUUGUAGUGGGUGUAAUGUACCUACUAGCCUACGACGGAUACGGGUUGUGGGAGCAAGAGCCCGGAGAUGGAUUCUGAGACAUGAAUCCAGGCCCUACGGGGCGCAGCAGGCGCGAAAACUUUACAAUGCGGGGAACCGCGAUAAGGGGACACCGAGUGCCAGCAUCCUAUGUUGGCUGUCCAUAUGUCUAAAUCACAUGUGUUAGCAAGGGCCGGGCAAGACCGGUGCCAGCCGCCGCGGUAACACCGGCGGCCCGAGUGGUGGCCACUAUUAUUGGGUCUAAAGGGUCCGUAGCCGGUUUGGUCAGUCUUCCGGGAAAUCUGACGGCUCAACCGUUAGGCUUUCGGGGGAUACUACCAGGCUUGGGACCGGGAGAGGUAAGAGGUACUACGGGGGUAGGAGUGAAAUCUUGUAAUCCCUGUGGGACCACCAGUGGCGAAGGCGUCUUACCAGAACGGGUCCGACGGUGAGGGACGAAAGCUGGGGGCACGAACCGGAUUAGAUACCCGGGUAGUCCCAGCUGUAAACUAUGCUCGCUAGGUGUCAGGGACGGUGCGACUGUUUCUGGUGCCGCAGGGAAGCCGUGAAGCGAGCCACCUGGGAAGUACGGUCGCAAGGCUGAAACUUAAAGGAAUUGGCGGGGGAGCACUACAACGGGUGGAGCCUGCGGUUUAAUUGGACUCAACGCCGGGA
rnacentral:rRNA from 1 species